UCCACGGAGGCAACAUUAGGUUUUUCUUCCAUUUCUCCAUUUCUUUGUAUAAUAAACUUUCAGAGUUUAGACUGCUUCUAGGAUAUCUCUUCGUCUUCCUCACAUUGCUUCUACCAGCAGGUUUCUCCUCUAUUGCAGUUUUUGUGAUCCAUGUGGUUGUUGUGUAUUUGUGUUAUUCAGUAGUGUUUCAAUCAUAAGGCUUUACAGGCCGUAAACGUAUAGCCAGGAGUAGAGGUGGAGCUAUGAUUUCAACUUUAUGGGUUCUGGAUUAGAAUGACGACUUCAAGUGCUAAUAAUUGGGUUCUUAAUUUAAUAUUUGUUCAUAUUUGAUGAAAAUUAUAAUAUAAAUACACCGUUUGAGCAAAAGCUAUUGGGUUUGAGCAUUUGACCAAACCCGUGGCCGGGAUUCUAGCUCCGCCCGUGGCCAGGAGUAAUGUGAAAAAGCCCUCUUACUUCACAUUGUUAUGAUGAAAGCUUAAAUGAGUUAUUAUAUAAAAGAAUCUAGUUGACUCAGAAAAGGUUGGUUGUAUUCUGUUAUUUUACUUUUGGUGCAAAGAGAAGUAUGCUGAUGAAGCUGAAUCACUCCUAGAAGUCAUAGAAUCCCUGUAAGCUGAACAGGAUAUAGUUUUUCUGAAUUAUGCAUCUUUGGUAACUUGUAAAUAUGGUUUCCAGCACUUUGUACUGCUGAUUAAUAUAUUGUUACCUAUUCCAAAAAAAAAGAAGGUUGGUUGUGUCACAUGGAUUAGUUCGGAAGAGAAAUUGUAUUGUUACCGAAUUGUAGGUCUAUUUUCAGAGAAAAUGAAGAAAGGUAUUCACCCUCAAAUGCAAUGGAUAUCCUAUGUGACACAAAGUGGACGAUUGAUGCAUGUUAUGAUGACCAAAAUACACCAAACAGGCAAGGUUUAUCACAUUAGAGCAAGGCGUCAAAUGGCUCAAAGUAUUGGUCAGAUUGCAAAGUUUAAGCGCCGGUAUGGUGAGAAGGAGGAGGAGUAGGUGGAGAAAGCAGAGAAAUGAAGGUUUAAGUUGGAAAAAGAAUGAAUUACAUUUUGUGGAUGAAUUCAUCCUUACCUUUUCCCUCUUCAUUUCGUCUUAACUUUUCUGUUUAAGGAAUGAAUAGCGGUCUUCUUGUAUGCUGUCACCCCUUUGAAUGUUUGUUAAACAUUAGUGAAGAAACAUUGGCUCAUCCUACUGUCAGCGUCUCCUUGUUUGAAAGUAUUUUAUGAGGUUUAAGAUACUUUAGUGUCUCUGUCUUCUUAUUUGGAAUUAUUGAUGGUUCUUCACCCGUGUCAAGUGACCAAGUUCUCAUGAUUCUGGUGUA